UAUGAGACAGGUGCUGCAUGGCCGUCGUCAGCUCGUGUCGUGAGAUGUUGGGUUAAGUCCCGUAACGAGCGCAACCCCUAUCCCUGGUUGCUAGCAGGUAAUGCUGAGAACUCCAGGGAGACUGCCGGUGACAAACCGGAGGAAGGUGGGGAUGACGUCAGGUCAUCAUGGCCCUUACGGCCAGGGCUACACACGUGCUACAAUGGCGCGUACAGAGGGCUGCCAACUCGCGAGAGUGAGCCAAUCCCUUAAAACGCGUCGUAGUCCGGAUCGGAGUCUGCAACUCGACUCCGUGAAGUCGGAAUCGCUAGUAAUCGCGAAUCAGAAUGUCGCGGUGAAUACGUUCCCGGGCCUUGUACACACCGCCCGUCACACCAUGGGAGUGGAUUGCACCAGAAGUAGUUAGUCUAACCUCGGGAGGACGAUAC
rnacentral:rRNA from 1 species